UUCCCCUGUCUUUCCUCUCAGGUCCUGGACUGUGCAAUUAAGGGCGAUAACUCAGCAGGUCUCCUCUGCUUUCUCUAGAUUCGAGAUCAAGAGUGAAGUCAAUUUCAGGCUCGCGUUGUAAAUCAAAAGCAUUUCUUCUGGAGGGAAUGGGCAACAACCUCUAAUCUUCCUGCGUUCCCAGCUGUAAUUUAAGACCGUGAAGAGGGAGGAAAAGCACAUCCUUUACAAGAUCGCGGUGACGUAUGAUAGGAAGCGAGUCUUAUAGAAGGAAAAGAACAACUGAGUUACUGCACAAUCCGAGCCCCGUUUAUUCCCAAAGAGUUGCCACUGUGCUCAGCAGAGUUUAUUCCCAGGUAAGUGUGUACAGUCUGCCUUUAUGCAUGUGUGUAAGAAAGAGAGAGAGAAUAAUUGGCAAUUUAACUCCCGGCCAGACUGGAUUUUUAAACAUGUUAACACAUUAUUUCCUCCUUUUCUUCUGCGACACUUUUACUCUUUCUUUUCUCAUUUCAUUUAGUUGGUGAAACUCUUCCACCCCUGCCUCCUCUGAAUUCAUUGCAACAUUUUAAUGAUUUUAAUUUUCUCCAAAGGGAGGCAAAAGGAAAACCUGGAUUUUUCCUGAAUAGUAGCAAAGAAGGGAGAAGUGGAUGCAUGUAUAUAAAGAGAAGGAUUUUUUUUUCUUUCGGGCUGCGGGCCCAGUAACAUCUUUGAGUUCCAUUAAAAGCAACCCUAGUGAUGGGAGGGGUGGAAAAGUAAUUAUUAUCCGGGGAGGGGUGAAAAUUCUCAGGACCCUGUUAUUGGGGAGUGGGUGGGAAUUUUAAGCCGCCUUGAAUCCAUGUGGGUUGAGGAGGUGCGGAGGGGGGGGGGGACGACGACGGGUUAGUGUUUUCCUCCGGGCUAAGAUUCUUUCUCUGCUCGGAUAUAAAUUGUUUUGCUAAGCAAAUUUAAACGGCAGCAAAGUUUGCUUUUCUGAUUCCAACAGUUUUUGCCCUAACGAACCAGAUGUUUGGCUUGCCAAUUCCCCGAAGAAUGUUUAGGGGUUUCGCCAAGGGCGGGGGACCCAGUCCAGAAAUCCAGACCUUGGAAGUGGGAACACUAUUUUUAACCAGUAUCCGGAAAUUGGGAAAAGGGGGAGCCGAAGUGGACUCUCGCCCAGAAAAACGACUGAGGUGCUGUUCUUUUUAGGACUUGCUGGGAUUUUAUUAAACAUGCCCCACAUCGCAAUGUACGGAACUUUUUAUGAGUGUCCGCGGUGGGGGGGGGAAGAGAGCAGGCGCUUCCUCCCCUUCGAAAUUUGGUAUUUCUAGGUCAAAAUAUACAGUCGGAUCAACCAACCAGAGAAACCAUUAACCAAUAAUUUUUGCAGGCGUCCUUUUAUGGCCCGUGACAAAUAAUUACUUGUUUAUUUUAACCCUCUCCCAAAUUUAGGUUUUGCAAACGGGGAGGGGGGCCUGAAGAUCCCCCAGCAGUUGACAUGCGUAGGUAUACGUGCAGAAUAUAUGCGCACACGGAGACAGACAUCCU
rnacentral:lncRNA from 1 species